ensembl:ncRNA lncRNA:CR43458 long non-coding RNA:CR43458
AGUUUUCGCUUUGGCUCAGAAGCAAUAUCAUCACUGGCACGUAAAGCGGCACAAAAAGACGCAGGACGAAGGAGCUGCCGAGGGUCCUUCUUUUCAUUGUCAUAGACGACAUGUUUCGGCUGUGCGGAGUGCUACGGCAAAGUUGGUUCCACUUCAGGAAUUUAUUUACUCAAGUGUGAUGCGAUUAUCCUGAUGCACUUCUUCUUUGUCUCAAUGCGCUAGUUACGCCCGCUGGGCACCGCCCAAAAACAAAAAAAAAAAAAACAAACAAAACCGAAACAGAAUGGAAUAUUUUCGUGAGACUCUAGAUGGCGUGUGCAGCAAUAGCAAUUGAGAUGCCAGCAAAGUUUGGUAACCCUUUCUUCGUUUCGGCCUCUUAAUUAAAUGCCAGCCCGAUAGUCAUCUUCUGGCAACUGAACUUGAUUAAAGUCCAGGGGCUGUACGUAUUUUUCUCCUGCAACGUACGCGGUCCAUUUCCCCAGCACAAUGUUGGCAGGACCUCUCGAUGAGUUGGCUUCUUUUAACUCGCGGUUAUCCACAGCUCCCUUACCAGUGCCCACCCAACUGAAACUGAAUCAAAAGGAUGACUAGUUACGACCACAAGUGUCCAGAACAGAAGGUCUUCGAGUCUUCGGUAAUCUUUCAAGUACCUUUUUUAACUUUUUUAACUUGAGCUAAAGUUGUUUUAAAAUAUAAAAUAAAUUAACGUUUCUGUAAGCUG